rnacentral:lncRNA from 1 species
GCAUCUCUAGAUCUGCAAAGAAAAUUUCGUUAGUAACACAUUUCUACACAAAUGCAAGGAAUAGGUAGAACCGGUGAAUUUUAAAUUAACCAUAGCAAAAUUGCAAGAUUCUCGGGGUACUUUUGAAAAAGUAGCUCCGUGAAAUCCGCAAAGCAAGAUCGGCUUUGACGAAAAUAAUACUUGAAAACGCCGAAAGGGCGGACAAAC